UCACACUAUACAUACCCCUAUCUCUCCCUCCCUUCCUCCCCUCGCCCUCUCUCUCUCUCUCUGGUUUGAUAUUGUACGGACAACAUAGAAUUUGAGAUUUCUUGAUUUAAAUUAGGUAUGUUCAUCUUCUUCUUAUUCUACUGUCUUAAUUUGCUUAUUUUUUUGACUUUCUCUCUCCUCAUUUCUUCUCUCUCAUCCUUCCCGAUUGUACCUAAACUUACAAUUCAAUAACGAGGGUAAAGGAAUCCGAACUCCCCUCUAGGUCUAGGUCGAGACCUAAAAUCUCCGCUUAGACUUGGAUGGUGUUCUUGGCAAAAAUUCUCUCUUUUAUGCUACAGUAAAAUUCUUAGCUAGGUUCACAUAAUUGUAUUAUUUGAACUCUUUGUUAUUAAUUUAUAUGUUGCUUUUAUGUUCGUGGUUAUGAAAAUUUUUGCCUAGUUAUAAUCUUCCUUUUUCAAGAACAAAUUUAUACAUGGAUAAGAGGCCCUAUUUUCUGGACUUCAAAUUUUUAUUCAAUUGUUGUUCCAUUAUUAAUAAAAGAAUCGAACUAAUUAAAGUAUAUUCUCCCGAGCGCUAACUAGAAUAACAUAUUAUGUAAGAUUGUACGAACACGAAAUGUAAUUAAUCCAAAUUUUGGUAGUUUCUUUCAUAUUUGUCAAUUAAUUAAAUUGAUGGAAAUGCAGGAAAAGGUGCAUUCGGAUAAUAUGACCAUGCACUCAGUAUUUUCCAAAGAUCAUGAAUUUGGGAUAAAUGUGCAAAAUCCAAUUGGCAUAGGGCCUUGGUGGAUGGGACUGGGAUCCCAAUUGGGUGAAGGUUUAGGACAAUUAAAGUAUAAUGAUUCAUCAGCUUCUGGGAACCACCUUGGAAAGGGAAAUACAACUCACUUCACUUUUUUCUCCGGUAAUUCUUCUACCACAAAUUAACACGUCUUUCUUUUACUGCUAUAUCGAUAGUUACUCCUUUUUUGUCUUUCACGAUAUGAUUUGUGUUGAUUAAAGUCCGCA
rnacentral:lncRNA from 1 species